UGCAGUCGGGCGGUAACAGGGGAAGCUUGCUUCCUGCUGACGAGCGGCGGACGGGUGAGUAAUGCAUAGGAAUCUGCCUGAUAGUGGGGGAUAGCCCAGAGAAAUUUGGAUUAAUACCGCAUACGCCCUACGGGGGAAAGCWGGGGAYCUUCGGRCCUUGCGCUAUCAGAUGAGCCUAUGUCGGAUUAGCUWGUUGGUGAGGUAACGGCUCACCAAGGCGACGAUCCGUAGCUGGUCUGAGAGGAUGAUCAGCCACACUGGGACUGAGACACGGCCCAGACUCCUACGGGAGGCAGCAGUGGGGAAUAUUGGACAAUGGGCGCAAGCCUGAUCCAGCCAUGCCGCGUGUGUGAAGAAGGCCUUCGGGUUGUAAAGCACUUUCAGCGAGGAGGAAAGGGGUGAUGCUAAUAUCAUCGCYCUGUGACGUUACUCGCAGAAGAAGCACCGGCUAACUCCGUGCCAGCAGCCGCGGUAAUACGGAGGGUGCGAGCGUUAAUCGGAAUUACUGGGCGUAAAGCGUGCGUAGGCGGCCUUUUAAGUUGGAUGUGAAAGCCCCGGGCUUAACCUGGGAACGGCAUCCAAAACUGAGAGGCUCGAGUGCGGAAGAGGAGUGUGGAAUUUCCUGUGUAGCGGUGAAAUGCGUAGAUAUAGGAAAGAACACCAGUGGCGAAGGCGACACUCUGGUCUGACACUGACGCUGAGGUACGAAAGCGUGGGGAGCAAACAGGAUUARAUACCCUGKUAGUCCACGCCGUAAACGAUGUCDACUAGUUGUCGGGACUCUUGCAGUCUUGGUAACGCAGCUAACGCGAUAAGUCGACCGCCUGGGGAGUACSGCCGCAAGGUUAAAACUCAAAUGAANUGACGGGGNCCG
rnacentral:rRNA from 1 species